rnacentral:rRNA from 1 species
UGGCGGCACUAGCGCGGUGGUCCCACCUGACCCCAUGCCGAACUCAGAAGUGAAACGCCGUAGCGCCGAUGGUAGUGUGGGGUCUCCCCAUGUGAGAGUAGGUAACUGCCAGGCA